GAUGAACGCUGGCGGCGUGCCUAAUACAUGCAAGUCGAGCGAACAGAUGAGGAGCUUGCUCCUCUGACGUUAGCGGCGGACGGGUGAGUAACACGUGGAUAACCUACCUAUAAGACUGGGAUAACUUCGGGAAACCGGAGCUAAUACCGGAUAAUAUAUUGAACCGCAUGGUUCAAUAGUGAAAGACGGUUUUGCUGUCACUUAUAGAUGGAUCCGCGCCGCAUUAGCUAGUUGGUAAGGUAACGGCUUACCAAGGCGACGAUGCGUAGCCGACCUGAGAGGGUGAUCGGCCACACUGGAACUGAGACACGGUCCAGACUCCUACGGGAGGGAGCAGUAGGGAAUCUGCCGCAAUGGGCGAAAGCCUGACGGAGCAACGCCGCGUGAGUGAUGACGGUCUUCGGAUCGUAAAACUCUGUUAUUAGGGAAGAACCAAUGUGUACGUAACUAUGCACGUCUUGACGGUACCUACACAGAAAGCAACGGCUAACUACGUG
rnacentral:rRNA from 1 species